AAGUCGUAACAAGGUUUCCGUAGGUGAACCUGCGGAAGGAUCAUUAUCGAAUAAACUUGAACAGGCUGUUGCUGGUCCCCUGGGAUAGCGUGCACGCUUGUCAUCUUUAUCACUUCUCCAAUUGUGCACAUAUUGUAGACCUGGAGCAUGUUGGAUCAUCGUUCCGAGUUGGGACUGCUGUGCUUCACACAACGAGGUCAGCUUUGCCCUUUUGCAAUCAGGUCUAUGUCAUUUUAACCUCUUGAAUGUCGAAUAACUAUGAAAAAUGAAAUAAAUACAACUUUCAGCAACGGAUCUCUUGGCUCUCGCAUCGAUGAAGAACGCAGCGAAAUGCGAUAAGUAAUGUGAAUUGCAGAAUUCAGUGAAUCAUCGAAUCUUUGAACGCAUCUUGCGCUCCUUGGUAUUCCGAGGAGCAUGCCUGUUUGAGUGUCAUUUAAAUUCCUCAAACCACAUGGUACACUGUACUUUAUGUGGCUUUGGACGUGGGGGUUUUAUUUUUUGCAGGCCUUUCUUUUGAGGUGUGCUCCCCUGAAAUGCAUUAGUGGUAUCUGGAGCAGAGGAGACUACUAGGUGUGAUAAAUUAUCUAUGCCUUUUGGUAUGCUGCAUGAAACAGAUUGGACUGCUUCUUGAACACACAUUUAUU
rnacentral:rRNA from 1 species